AUUGAACGCUGGCGGAAUGCUUUACACAUGCAAGUCGAACGGCAGCACGGACUUCGGUCUGGUGGCGAGUGGCGAACGGGUGAGUAAUGUAUCGGAACGUGCCCAGACGUGGGGGAUAACGUAGUGAAAAUUACGCUAAUACCGCAUACGAUCUAUGGAUGAAAGCGGGGGAUCGCAAGACCUCGCGCGAUUGGAGCGGCCGAUAUCAGAUUAGGUAGUUGGUGGGGUAAAGGCCCACCAAGCCAACGAUCUGUAGCUGGUCUGAGAGGACGACCAGCCACACUGGAACUGGGACACGGUCCAGACUCCUACGGGAGGCAGCAGUGGGGAAUUUUGGACAAUGGGCGAAAGCCUGAUCCAGCCAUUCCGCGUGCAGGAUGAAGGCCCUCGGGUUGUAAACUGCUUUUGUACAGAACGAAAAGGUUUCUACUAAUACUAGGAGCUCAUGACGGUACUGUAAGAAUAAGCACCGACUAACUACGUGCCAGCCGCCGCAGUAA
rnacentral:rRNA from 1 species